rnacentral:rRNA from 1 species
AAAUGAAUAGACGGGGGCCCGCACAAGCAGUGGAGCAUGUGGUUUAAUUCGAUGCAACCCGAAGAACCUUACCAGGUCUUGACAUCUGUAUAAUCCUGUAGAGAUACGGGAGUGCCAUUUGGAAAUACAAGACAGGUGGUGCAUGGUUGUCGUCAGCUCGUGUCGUGAGAUGUUGGGUUAAGUCCCGCAACGAGCGCAACCCUUGAUGUCGGUUGCCAGCAGGUAGAGCUGGGCACUCCGGCGUGACUGCCGUAGAGAAUACGGAGGAAGGCGGGGAUGACGUCAAAUCAUCAUGCCCUAUAUGACCUGGGCUACACACGUGCUACAAUGGGGUGAACAACGGGAAGCGAGCCUGCGAAGGUAAGCGGAACCCUAAAAACACCUCUCAGUUCGGAUUGCAGGCUGAAACUCGCCUGCAUGAAGUCGGAAUUGCUAGUAAUCGCGGAUCAGCAAGCCGCGGUGAAUACGUUCCCGGGCCUUGUACACACCGCCCGU